GUGUUUGCGGGCGUGGCAUCAUCAAGAUUCACAACCCAUGGAUCCAAAUAAACCACUGAUUUGGAUCGAGGAGAUGCAUGAGAAUCUUGAUGAUGCUGCAUCCGCCAACAA
rnacentral:pre_miRNA from 1 species